rnacentral:misc_RNA from 1 species
GGAAGAACAAUAAUGUAUUGGAUAAAGUUCAGAUUAAAACAAAAGUGUUGAAACUAAUGUAAUGGUACAAACUCCGUUCCCCAAGUUCGUGCCUGACACGGUCAUCCAUCCUGCCACCAUGCUGCUGCUCUGCUCUUAGAGCGUAAUAUCUAAAGAAAUUGCUGUUCCCUUUUCAAGACAUAUCACCAAAAAGAACAAAAAAGACUGCUGCAGGUAACUUUUCUACAUAGAAACCUACGAAUAUGAAAAGUUAAAAGAAACAUAACUCGUCUUCUCAGUAUUGAGUGAUGGACUGAUGAGUACCCAGUACUACUCGCACUUGAUGGACCGAUAUAUGUGGCGAACAAAAAGCAAAGCUGCUCGAAAACCAAUAGCUCCAAGCAUCAGGAAGAAGCCAUAGCAGACACAAGCCAUGUAGCCGAAGAAAAAUGAUGUUUGCAUAAACCCAGACAUAUCUGAGCGAGCAUAGUAGUAGUACAAACAAUACGCAUAGAUAAAUAAGCCAGUUGACCCACCGCAAAGAAAAGAUCUCCACCACCAUUCAUGGUCCUCGGCAGCAAGUUGGAAGUAUGUUAAUGCCACAGUAAUGAAUGCCGUAACUAUAAGGAGAAUGAUGAACACAAUAAACAAGAUGCUGUAUAUGGUGUAAAUCCUGUGGCCCCACACACUGGCAAAUAUGUAGUAUAACUCAAUAUAUAUGGCACUGAAAGGCAGGAAUCCAGCCAUUGCCAUCUGUGGAAUCGUCCCACGGUACCAAGGCAGAGGUGGAAUCUCUCUAGGAUAUUUAGUGGUACGAAC